rnacentral:rRNA from 1 species
GCGGUGGAUGAUAUGGAUUAAUUCGAUGCAACGCGAAAACCUUACCCACCUUGACAUGUACGGAACCCUUAGAGAUAGAGGGGUGCUCGAAAGAGAGCCGUAACACAGGUGCUGCAUGGCUGUCGUCAGCUCGUGUCGUGAGAUGUUGGGUUAAGUCCCGCAACGAGCGCAACCCUUGUCAUUAGUUGCUACAUUCAGUUGGGCACUCUAAUGAGACUGCCGGUGACAAGCCGGAGGAAGGUGGGGAUGACGUCAAGUCCUCAUGGCCCUUAUAGGUGGGGCUACACACGUCAUACAAUGGCUGGUACAAAGGGUUGCCAACCCGCGAGGGGGGAGCCAAUCCCAUAAAGCCAGUCGUAGUCCGGAUCGUAGUCUGCAACUCGACUACGUGAAGUCGGAAUCGCUAGUAAUCGUGGAUCAGAAUGUCACGGUGAAUACGUUCCCGGGUCUU